UACGUAGGCAGCAAGCGUUGUUCGGAAUUACUGGGCGUAAAGAGUGUGUAGGCGGUGCUCUAAGUUCGGUGUGAAAUCUCCCGGCUCAACUGGGAGGGUGCGCCGAAAACUGGAGUGCUGGAGCGCGGGAGAGGAAAGCGGAAUUCCUGGUGUAGCGGUGAAAUGCGUAGAUAUCAGGAGGAACACCGGCGGUGUAGACGGCUUUCUGGACCGUAACUGACGCUGAGACACGAAAGCGUGGGUAGCAAACAGG
rnacentral:rRNA from 1 species